rnacentral:lncRNA from 1 species
UGUAUGUAUAUAUAUAUAUUACCCGCGGCAAGCUAAUAUUAUAAAAGACAGAAAACUGAUAAAAUAAAAAUUUUAAAAUUUUUUGACUUACCAUGAAAAAUCAAUAUAUACAAAUAAUAUAAAGAAAGAAUAUGAAAAAACUUUAUUUUACUUUUUUUUAAUAAAAAUAAUUUGUUUAAAUAAUAAUAGAUUAUGUGAAUGCAUUAGUUAGAAAAUGAGCGGGUGAAAAAACAAAAUAUCGGAUGAAGAUGAGGAGUGGGGAGGCGAAGCAUCAAUCAUUUAUGCAUCUAUAUACGUACAGUUUUAUAUAUGCUCUUCAGUCUUAGGACAACCUACCCACCCCUUUUCCGCCUCCGAAAAAAAAAAGAAAAAGAAAAGGUAAAAGCAUACAUAACUUACUUAAACAAUACAUUAAUUUGAAUUGAUUGCCCAAAGUUCUUAAAAUUUUAAUUUUACUAUUCAUUUUUUUAAUUUAUUUGAUUGAAUCAGUUAACUAUACUUUAAUCUUAAAAUUUAAACCAAUUACUUAUUUUAAUAAAUUUAUAGUUGCGAAAAUUAUACAAAACACACUACUAACUAAACCUAUAAAAAUAAACAAUACAAUCAAAAUCUUAAAAAUAUUAACUAGUUAAAUCAAAAUAAUUUAUACUUCAAAUAAGAUCUGUUUGUUUUUAACCAAAAAAAAAAAUUACUUACUAUUGGAUAUCAACUAGGGAUGCAAAUGGAUCCGGGUUGGUGGAGCUCUGUCCCAAUCCGUCCCGAAUCCGUUCCGAUCCGCCAAGUAAAUGAAGCGGGAGGUGGGAGACUCUUUUCUUCCUUCAAUCCGUCCCGAUCCGUCAAAAAUCCGGCUCCCGCCCCGAUCCACCCCGAAUGGAGCGGUAAGUGGGAGCCAAAAAUAAAAUGAAAAAUAACCCGUCCCGAAUCCGCCCCACCCCGAUAAGAAAUGGAGCGAGAGGUGGGGGAACUCUCCCGCCCCCGGAUCCGCC